CAGCGAUCGUCAGCGCUAGACACGCGCCGUCCGUACGGACGACAUAGGCCAUCAGCCACGGAUAGUCCAUUUCGACGAAUAGUUUCUCUCGAUCGACGUGGAAACCGUCGAAAAGAAAGAUUCAGGAUAUUGUAGCCGUUCGCCGAUAAGGAGCGCCAUUUACGCCGAAGGAGAUCCGUUCUCUUAGAACGUUCAUAGAGCUCUGGGUCUUUUCGUUCUAUAAGAUUAAUAUAAAUCUAGAAAUUGUACAGCCCAACUUUAAGUCUAUCGCAGCUUCGUUCGAACGACGCUACUUCGUCCUGUACAAAUUUCGAUUCCUCCGAUGAAACGUGUAUUCACAGUAAAGUACUUUUUUCUGUAAUCUUAUUAUGGCUUGCGAAAGUGUUCGAAUAAUCUUGAUCGUUCCGAGGUGACGCGUAUCACACGAACAAUAGAAAACUCGGAAAAUACCGAAAGGUCGGAUGAUACCGGCGUUCGUACGGUAAAACCGUAAAAUCGAUUUCGAUAACUUAACAUCGUACGUGCGUUUCAGUUUAGUUGACUAUUUGAUCGAUUAAAAGUUCAAUUAAUCUAUUUACUUUGUUCGCGCGGUGCCGGCGUUAAAAUUUCGAAAAAAAAACGCGCAGUUAGGAGAAAGCUGGAAACACAUCGUAUAAUACGAGACUCGGAUAGCCGAAACUUCACUGAGCUGGCGGAAAUUUUGCGUAGGAUCGCGUAUUAUGCCAAACAUUUUGAAAUCCCGUUAACGCUGUAACGAGACACGACUAUCGUGAUUAUGUUCGUUACAUCAGUUGCGACUCUUCAAUUUUUGUACUUUCGAGUCUGUCCCUAUUUUAACGAUAAUAAAACAUAUUUGUAACGUUGGGAGAAGAGGUUUAAUCAAGAAAAUUGAAACGAAAAUGUGCGAUCUUUUUUCAUUUUCUUCAAAACGAAGGUAUUCUCUAACGUUGUAAGAACGUAAUUGGGUCGACCCACACAUAACUCGAGCUGAAAUGAUCGAAAGGGCGUAGCAGGCUUUUUUUUUAUUUAUUACAAGCGUACAGUUUUGUCAGGUUCAGCCAAAUAUUAGGUUGCCCCAAAAGUGUCUUUCCUCUACGAAUAUGUCUUUUACGACAAUGCAUCUUUAUACAAACACGACAGCUAAUCUGUCAAAUGUCGUGGUCUUUACCUUAAUAGAACAAAA